GGGGGCGAUCCGGAUUUCGACGUGGAUUACAAAACCUGAGGCGCAUGCCGAGGAUGCAGCUUGCCUCGUUAAACAUGCUGCAAUUCAUAGUUGCCAACGACGACAGCUACGCUCUAGCCGCCUAAAAACCGGCUAGCCCCUGACCGAAACUUGCUUGUGAGGUUCGGAGCCUUCCGGGGCGCUCAGGGGUCGACUAACGCAAGCUCGCGCCAACCCUGUCCGGGGGAGCGGUGUUAAAACCUUACCGGAACCGCCGUUCACCGCCCUGCCGGUCGGGUUGUGAAAGGUUAAAUCAAAGACCUGGCUAAGCAUGUAGGGCCGAGGGCAGAGGAUUUGCGGACGGGGGUUCGAUUCCCCCCGCCUCCACCA
rnacentral:tmRNA from 1 species